rnacentral:rRNA from 1 species
GAUGAACGCUGGCGGCGUGCCUAAUACAUGCAAGUCGAGCGAACAGACGAGGAGCUUGCUCCUCUGACGUUAGCGGCGGACGGGUGAGUAACACGUGGAUAACCUACCUAUAAGACUGGGAUAACUUCGGGAAACCGGAGCUAAUACUGGAUAAUAUAUUGAACCGCAUGGUUCAAUAGUGAAAGACGGUUUUGCUGUCACUUAUAGAUGGAUCCGCGCCGCAUUAGCUAGUUGGUAAGGUAACGGCUUACCAAGGCAACGAUGCGUAGCCGACCUGAGAGGGUGGUCCGGCACAACGGGACCUAGAAACGGGCCCAGAUCCUUAGGGAGGGAGGAGGAGGGAAAUCUUCGGCAGUGGGGAAAGGCCUACCGGGCAAAGCCGCCGUAAGUGAUGAGGGUUUCGGAUCCGAAAACCUUUGUAUUUAGGAAGAACAAAUGUGUAAGUAACUAUGCACGUCUUGACGGUACCUAAUCAGAAAGCCACGGCUAACUACGUG